UCCUAAUUAAGCCUGAAACUGGGGGGCAAGCAAUCCAAGCUAGAGAAAACAGGCCCUAAAAAGAUUUGCAAAACUUUCAUGAGCAAAGCUAAAGUCGAGGUCUGUCAAAUUAAAGGAUCAAGAUCCAUCCGAAGUUGGAUUGAAACCAAAUCGAAGCCUAAAAUGAAGCAAUCUUUAAGACCAGGCUAAGGACGCUGAACUCUACAAAAUCGAUCUCCAAGAUGUAAUUUCCCCCGAAGCCGAGCGUAGAAUGGUCUAAUCUAA
rnacentral:lncRNA from 1 species